rnacentral:lncRNA from 14 species
CCAGAGCCAUGUCUGCUGUAGGAAGAAAGAACAUGCAGUCUGUGACCAGGUACUAAGGACUUCGAGGUGCUCAGCCUCAGACACAGCUACCGAAUAUGGAAGCUGAGGGAUGCCAAGCCCGAUCAUUUAUAACCUAUGAUCACAGAAAGUCCUGAUCCUCAUGUUUCUCUGCUGUCACCUGUGGGCUCCUCCAGAGCCGCGAAGAAGGGGGAACUCCAGCCCCACCACCAGAAGACUGGGUCUUCUACGCAUGGCGACUCAACCCAUGUGAGAGCUCUCUUGUGUGAGUACCCAGCAGCACGCUUUGCUGUCUGUGGUCUGUGGACAUUGACUGGCACCUAAGCAACAUCCCAGCUCCCUUCUCUCCCCCUAGACGCCACUGUCUUAG